CCCACCUUAAAAGGUUCAUAAAUGCUGGUAAGGAAAAUCCACCAGGGUGCGCUCAGUCCUCUCGCUGAGGUGCCCCACUGCACCCUUUUGUAGCGUUCUUCCUUUCUAAUAAACGUUCCUUUUUCAAAGCUGUACUGUUGUCGGUAAAUUCUUUUUACCAACCCCCCAGUCGACCACUUCCCGGUGCCGGGGCUCUGACACCGCGCGCAGAGACAGAGGCAGGCGGCCCCCUCUCUGCUGCCCCUUCUCCCUGCUGGUCUCAUGAAUGCUCUCACCUGAGCUUCUCCUUUUCCUUUUCUACUUUCUCCUUUACCAAGGGCGCAGCUGCUCUUCGGAGAGGCAGUUGGGUCCACAGAAUCAGCUGCCUCUUGGAGAGCGGUGUGAGGUUAUGAGGGAGCUGAGGGGAAGUAAAGAGAGGGUCCAGUGUGCCUCACCUUGGUCCCACACACCGAAGGAAAGGGUUUCAGAGAGGACUGGUGGAUGCUGACACACCGUCCAUUUUGAGAAGACUCCUUGUAUGGGUGGCAGUGUGCUUCCCCAAAACUCAUGUUGAAGCCCUAACCCAUAACACCUUAGAAUGUGACUGUAUUUAGAGACUGGAUUUCUAAAGAGGCGAUUAAUUUUAAAGAGACCAUUAGGGUGAGCCCUAAUCCAAUCUGCCUGCUGUUCUUAUAAGAAGAGGAAAUUGAACCUGCAAGGAGCUAUUAGGGCCUCUUGCAGAGAGGGAUGACCGCAUGCAGAGGCCACAAGAGGGCGCCCUCUGCAAGCCAAGGAGAAACCUCAGAAGACACCAACCCUGAAGAGGAAAUUGAUGUUGGACUUCUGGCCUCCGGAAGAGUCUCAGCAACUCCUUUGUUGCCAACUUUUACCGGACCCAUGGGUCUGAAAGAGAAGCACAGUCCAUAGUGUUCCAGCUUUGAGUGUGGCUCUCUCAGAAGAAGGUGUGACAGCUGCCUCCUUGCUAAGAGAAAGACGUUUCAGUGUCUGCCUCCUGGGAAUGGAGUCUCCUGGUGACUCUGAGGAUGGCGCAGGACUCUCCCAGCUAACACUACACAGAGGCUCCCCCUCUUCAUGCCACCCCUUUGCCAGCUGCAGCCUGUGUGGACCCAGACACUUCUGACCCAGGCUCCAGUGCCCGCAUGUCUGAUAGCCUGUAUUUCAAACUCUGGGCUCUCCUGGACAUUCCCUCUCCAGCUGUAUAUGAUGUUAUUUUUCAGACCCAUUUACUGUUGUCCAGUGGCCUGCCAAGACCUUUAGGUGAAGACGCUGACUCCCUCGCCGGCUCUUCUUCAUUCUUUUCAAACACACGUCAGAGUGGAACGCACAUCCUUUUUGCUUCACCUUCCAGGGAGAGAACGAGUCUUGAAGCAUCAACAGCUCUUUGAACACUUCCCAGGAAGACUAUUCAAGGACAUCUCUACUGGAAUCAGAAUUAUUUCCUUGGAGAUGGAGAGCUCCAAAACCCACAGUGCUUGGAAGUGAGUAUUGUGUGGUUGGAGAUAGUUUGCAGACUUUAGAUGGUAGCUGUGGAUGGUGAACUGAAAGUCAUCCUCAGCUUAAUGAUGAGUUGUCAUUUAUAAAAGAUAUCCAAAUUUUUUAUUGCAAUUAUUGUAUAGAAGUGAUCUCACAUCUGUUCUCCUUUUCUCUGCUUCCCAAAGGUAUUAUACAGAAACACAUUGUACAAAAUGUUACUCUUUGAGGAGUUUCAUUUGUUUCAU
rnacentral:lncRNA from 1 species